AUUAAUAACGCAAGCAGUCAGGUGAAACAAUCAGAUGUUACUAGCCCUUCAAAGUCACAAUGCACUAAAGUGGACUUCUUAAAGAUAAAACUACUUAGUACUUCAGUGUCUUGAAAAUGGUCUGUUUGUAAGUUUUCUUGAGUCCCCAAUGCAUAAAGCUUACAUCCUUUCCCCAGUUUCUCAUUAAUCAUAACCUUAUUUCAUAAUUAAAAGCUCAAAGUGUACUUUAAGAAAUGUAUGGAUAUUUUAUCUGAACUGCCUGACUGCCAGAUAUAUGAAAAGGAAAACUCUGUUCAGGGCUAACUCAUCCGUGCUCGAUUUGACCAUGUGGCUUUCCCUGAAGAUGUAAAUGGUGACUAAUCCUUUUAUUUAUCUGAAAUGCUUACACUUAAAACAUGAUUUUUUCAAACACAUUAAUAUGAAUGAAUCUGGCUUGGUGAAUCAGUAAUAAAUGUCAUACUAAGGAAAUUGAAUCUCAAGAGAUACAAUGAAUAAUUAAGUACUUGCAGGAAACUCAUCUGUUUUUCCAUUUAUGCACAGGCGAUUUACAUGCAAAGCUCCUACUGAAGCUACUUGUAAGUUAACAUUGACCAGCUACAACAAUACAGAAAAUUAGAGUGCUGAAGAAAGUAGCAUUUUCCAGCUGCUAAAACUUUGCAGGUACCAAAGGCAGAGAAAGUGCCUUCAGAAUUUGCCUUAAUAGUCAACUCUACAAUUAGCUCAGCUGGCAGACUCUUUCCUGCUGGGAGCUGGAAGGAGCCUAAGCAUUAUAGAGAGGUCAGAAACAAAUACCUUUUAAUAUGGCAACUCUUAUUAAAAACAAAAAAAGGCAUAAGAAAGAAAAAUAAAAAAGCAAUGAAGCAAUGUAGGCUGGACCCCUAUGAUUUUCAAAUAAAUAUAAUUUAUUUUUA